ACUUGAUUGAGUAUUUAUAAAAACAAAAAUCUAGGCAAAUUUGUUUAUAAAUUUUUAUGUUUUUGAAUAUUUAAAAAUUGAAUUGGACUGCACUGUAAAAUGUGGAAAUGGCUUAAAAGUUUUCAAGGACCUAACUGGAAGUUUUGUGAAAGAAGUAAUGGCGACAUUCUAGUAUUAAUUUUUUUGUGAGUCGUGAGCUGUGAAACAAAGAAGACUUCCAGAAUGUCAUAAUUUAGCCAGGACAAAUAAGUGACCAAAUUGGGAUACUGAACUACAGUAAUUGUGCUAACUACGAAUUAAAUUGGUCAAAAAUACAUAUGAAACACACUGUUAACUUUACAAAAUGUGUUAAAAUGAUAUCUCAAGAUGGCAAUGUCUUAAAAAUUUUCAAGAAACCAACUGAAAAUUUUGUGAAGGAUUAUGUAAACUACAAAUCAAGUAACUAAGGUAUCAUGACCACCUGUUCCGAAAAAUGAGGAUUGUUUAUGACAUGAUUUUCUGCACUCAUUAUCACAAGAUUUAAUUUACGAAAUCAUCCGAAGGAAGCAACAGAAUAAUAUCAGAUAUUCGACAAUUCUGCAACACAACAUACAUUUACAAUUAUAUUGUGGGUAAAAUAAUUCACAUAUCCAAUACGUUACUUAAUGUAGGUAAUAUUUUAAGUAACAUAGCAAAUAUUUUAUAUUUAAUUGCUUGAUUGUCAAUAUUAAGGUUUAUAA